rnacentral:tRNA from 2 species
GCCGGAGUGGCGGAAUUGGCAGACGCGCACGACUCAAACUCGUGUACCUUCGGGUGUGUGGGUUCGACUCCCACCUCCGGCA